GCUCUUUGGAUCACCGGAGUAACGGGAAUAAAGACACACAGUCUAGGAAGCUCUCUGUACAGCGGAAGUCAAAUUCGUUUGGAAUGCAGUCUGGGAGAGAGUGAUUACCACUUUGCCUUCUGACUUAAAGCCCCUUCCUACAAGACUUUUCAUUCUGCAGCAGCAGUCCCCCUCCAUUUUGAUGUGUCCAUUCUCUUCUAUACCAGAACCGGCUUAAGAUAUGCUGGGGCAUCAGUUAAGGUCUGCAUUGAUCCAUCUCUGCCUUAUUUCACCAAAAAUUCACACCAUACGCCAUAAAAUGAAAACGAGUUGAGGAGUAAUUGAAUGUAUUUAAUUUACUGCCUCAUUAUUUUGUUUCUUGUAUUAUAGCAUGCUUUGCAAAUUCUCUGUUUUAUAUUUUUGAAGUGGCUAAGAGAAAAAGAAGCACUAUGUAUUUUUAUGAUUGAAGAGUUUUGGAACUCUCCAUCCCAUCCCACCAAUGAGAUUGUGCCUGGUGCUGCCCAGCACCUGAUUGAUUAUCGCCAACAUCUUAGUACCCAAUGAAUAAAAAUUAUGUUGAA